UGGGGAAUCUUAGACAAUGGGGGCAACCCUGAUCUAGCCAUGCCGCGUGAGUGAUGAAGGCCUUAGGGUUGUAAAGCUCUUUCAGCUGGGAAGAUAAUGACGGUACCAGCAGAAGAAGCCCCGGCUAACUCCGUGCCAGCAGCCGCGGUAAUACGGAGGGGGCUAGCGUUGUUCGGAAUUACUGGGCGUAAAGCGCACGUAGGCGGACUGGAAAGUUGGGGGUGAAAUCCCGGGGCUCAACCUCGGAACUGCCUUCAAAACUAUCAGUCUGGAGUUCGAGAGAGGUGAGUGGAAUUCCGAGUGUAGAGGUGAAAUUCGUAGAUAUUCGGAGGAACACCAGUGGCGAAGGCGGCUCACUGGCUCGAUACUGACGCUGAGGUGCGAAAGCGUGGGGAGCAAACG
rnacentral:rRNA from 1 species